rnacentral:rRNA from 1 species
AUUGAACGCUGGCGGCAGGCCUAACACAUGCAAGUCGAGCGGGGUUUUCGGACCUAGCGGCGGACGGGUGAGUAAUGCGUAGGAAGCUGCCCGAUAGAGUGGGAUACCAGUUGGAAACGCCUGUUAAUACCGCAUAAUGUCUACGGACCCACGUGGGGGACCUUCGGGCCAACGGCUCUCGGGUGCCCACACGUGGGAUUGGCUAGUUGGUGAGGUAAUGGCUCACCAAGGCGACGAUCUCUAGCUGGUUUGAGAGGAUGAUCAGCCACACUGGAACUGAGACACGGUCCAGACUCCUACGGGAGGCAGCAGUGGGGAAUAUUGGACAAUGGGCGCAAGCCUGAUCCAGCCAUGCCGCGUGUGUGAAGAAGGCCUUCGGGUUGUAAAGCACUUUCAGCGAGGAGGAAGGGUGGUGUGUUAAUAGCACAUCAUUUUGACGUUACACGCAGAAGAAGCACCGGCUAACUCUGUGCCAGCAGCCGCAGUAACAC